GAUUAACGUUGGCGGCGUGCCUAACACAUGCAAGUCGAGCGCCCUUUUAGGGAGCGGCGGACGGCUGAGUAACACGUUGGUAUCUGCCCCGGACUCGGGAAUAAGCGCGUGGAAACGGCGUCUAAUGCCCGAUAGUCUCUUCGGAGUAAAGAUUUUUCGGUCCGGGAGGAACCUGCGCCCGAUUAGCUUGUUGGUGAGGUAAUGGCUCACCAAGGCUAUGAUCGGUAGGUGGUCUGAGAGGAUGAUCACCCAGACUGGGACUGAGACACGGCCCAGACUCCUACGGGACGGCAGCAGUGAGGAAUCUUGCGCAAUGGGGGGAAACCCUGACGCAGCAACGCCGCGUGGAGGAAGACGGCCU
rnacentral:rRNA from 1 species